rnacentral:rRNA from 1 species
AUUGAACGCUAGCGGGAUGCUUUACACAUGCAAGUCGAACGGAGAGGCGGACGGGUGAGGAAUAGAUCGGAACGUGGCCAGUAGCGGGGGAAAACUACGAGAAAGAGUGGCUAAUAGCGCAUACUAUGGGAGCGGCCGAAAGCGGAUUAGCUAGUUGGUGGGGUAAAGGCUCACAAAGGCAACGAUCCGUAGCUGGUUUGCGAGGACGACCAGCCACACUGGGACUGAGACACGGCCCAGACUCCUACGGGAGGCAGCAGUGGGGAAUUUUGGACAAUGGGGGAAACCCUGAUCCAGCCAUCCCGCGUGUAUGAUGAAGGCCUUCGGGUUGUAAAGUACUUUUGGCAGAGAAGCGGUAUCUGCAGAAUAAGCACCGGCUAACUACGUGCCAGCAGCCGCGGUAAUUC